GAUGAACGCUGGCGGCGUGCCUAAUACAUGCAAGUCGAGCGAACAGAUGAUGAGCUUGCUCCUCUGACGUUAGCGGCGGACGGGUGAGUAACACGUGGAUAACCUACCUAUAAGACUGGGAUAACUUCGGGAAACCGGAGCUACUACCGGAUAAUAUAUUGAACCGCAUGGUUCAAUAGUUAAAGACGGUUUUGCUGUCACUUAUAGAUGGAUCCGCGCCGCAUUAGCUAGUUGGUAAGGUAACGGCUUACCAAGGCAACGAUGCGUAGCCGACCUGAGAGGGUGAUCGGCCACACUGGAACUGAGACACGGUCCAGACUCCUACGGGAGGCAGCAGUAGGGAAUAUUCCGCAAUGGGCGAAAGCCUGACGGAGCAACGCCGCGUGAGUGAUGAAGGUCUUCGGAUCGUAAAACUCUGUUAUUAGGGAAGAAAAAAUGUGUAAGUAACUAUGCACGUCUUGACGGUACCUAAUCAGAAAGCAACAGCUAACUACGUG
rnacentral:rRNA from 1 species